rnacentral:rRNA from 1 species
CCUACGGGAGGCAGCAGUGAGGAAUAUUGGACAAUGGGCGCAAGCCUGAUCCAGCCAUGCCGCGUGCAGGAUGACGGUCCUAUGGAUUGUAAACUGCUUUUAUACGGGAAGAAACCCUGGCUCGUGAGCCAGAUUGACGGUACCGUAAGAAUAAGGAUCGGCUAACUCCGUGCCAGCAGCCGCGGUAAUACGGAGGAUCCAAGCGUUAUCCGGAAUCAUUGGGUUUAAAGGGUCCGUAGGCGGUUUAAUAAGUCAGUGGUGAAAGCCCAUCGCUCAACGGUGGAACGGCCAUUGAUACUGUUAGACUUGAAUUAUUAGGAAGUAACUAGAAUAUGUAGUGUAGCGGUGAAAUGCUUAGAGAUUACAUGGAAUACCAAUUGCGAAGGCAGGUUACUACUAAUUGAUUAACGCUGAUGGACGAAAGCGUGGGUAGCGAACAGGAUUAGAUACCCUGGUAGUCCACGCCGUAAACGAUGGAUACUAGCUGUUGGGAGUAAUCUCAGUGGCUAAGCGAAAGUGAUAAGUAUCCACCUGGGGAGUACGUUCGCAAGAAUGAAACUCAAAUGAAAUUGACGG